GCCCUAUUGCCCCAAGUGGGUAAAAAUUUGUGGGAUAAGGAGAAAUUCUCCAGGCGUAGUCACCGCCUCAGCAGCCCUGGUAAUACUUGGCCACCUAGAGGCUGCAUGGCUCAACUCCCAUUGAACUAACAGAAAGCUUCAAGGUCAGGGCUAUAGAAAGGAGUUCUGCUCAGACAAUGAAGGGCAUCUGUAGGGCAUUCUCAGAUAUCUCCUAAACCCCUUAAAACUCUGCAACGACGCGCAAUACUCACCUGACCCUCUAGGCUUUCAGGAGGGAUCAGUUGUCAGACAAAUACUCUGUCAACCUGGAAGACAGUCUUAUAAAGAGUCCUCAUGAGUUCCCCCUUGGUGUAGUCUUCUGCUGGACUCUGAGGAUCAUUGCCUUUCCAGAGCAUAGCUGGGAUUUUCUCCAUCACAAGGGGUCCCAAUCCAUGAAGUUGCCACCAUCCUCAGGAAGGAUUUCCCAAACGUAUACACCUACCUGGGUGCUCCCCUCUUGGAAUACUCAUUCAUCUAAAAUCAGGAAAGAACAAAUGCAAAAGAAAGAGAGAUGUCAUAUACUUAUGCACAAGGAGCCUCAAUCAGGGUAGCCCUUUCUCACUCAAAGCCACCAAAGAAGAGACAGAUGGCCGAAGCUAAGGCUGAGAAGUCAAAUGAUUUGCCUGAGGUCGUCACCCAGCU
rnacentral:lncRNA from 1 species